rnacentral:rRNA from 1 species
AGUAACGCGUGGGCAACCUGCCCCGCACUGGGGGACAACAGCCGGAAACGGCUGCUAAUACCGCAUAUGCGCACAGCUUUGCAUGAAGCAGUGUGGAAAACUCCGGUGGUGCGGGAUGGGCCCGCGUCUGAUUAGCUGGUUGGCGGGGGCAACGGCCCACCAAGGCGACGAUCAGUAGCCGGCCUGAGAGGGUGGACGGCCACAUUGGGACUGAGACACGGCCCAGACUCCUACGGGAGGCAGCAG